AAUGAGUCGGCUCUUCGAAUCAGGUGGCCAAAGUAUAUUGGAGCUUCAGCUUCAGCAUCAGUCCUUCCAAUGAAUAUUCAGGACUGAUUUCCUUUAGGACUGACUGGUUUGAUCUCCCUGAGUCCAAAGAACUCUCAAGAGUCUUCUCCAGCACCACAGUUCUUGUCUGAAACAGACUCUGGAAGAAACCAGGAAGGGGUGAAGCAAUCAGAAAGAAAGAAGAAGCCAGGCCAGCAGCAGUUUUUGCGAUAGCCAGCCUCAGCCUGACCCCGCCGGGGCUCCAGAGGGCCUGGCCGGGGGCUGACUGCCCGCUUCUUGCCCUGGAGUCCCCGGGCUGCACCUCAGGGGUCCCAAAGCCAGCACAUGAUUUCAGCCGGGCCCUCACAUACCCCGCGUGUCAAGGCCACACCUUGUUCCCACAACCUUUCAGCCGCCUG
ensembl:lncRNA